rnacentral:rRNA from 1 species
GACGAACGCUGGCGGCGUGCUUAACACAUGCAAGUCGAGCGAUGAAGCUUCUUCGGAAGUGGAUUAGCGACGGACGGGUGAGUAACACGUGGGUAACCUGCCUCAUAGAGGGGAAUAGCCUUCCGAAAGGAAGAUUAAUACCGCAUAAGAUUGUAAUAUCGCAUGAUAUAGCAAUUAAAGGAGCAAUCCGCUAUGAGAUGGACCCGCGUCGCAUUAGCUAGUUGGUGAGGUAACGGCUCACCAAGGCGACGAUGCGUAGCCGACCUGAGAGGGUGAUCGGCCACAUUGGGACUGAGACACGGCCCAGACUCCUACGGGAGGCAGCAGUGGGGAAUAUUGCACAAUGGGGGAAACCCUGAUGCAGCAACGCCGCGUGAGUGAUGACGGUCUUCGGAUUGUAAAGCUCUGUCUUUAGGGAAGAUAAUGACGGUACCUAAGGAGGAAGCCACGGCUAACUACGUGCCAGCCGCCGCAGUAACAC